ensembl:lncRNA
CUUGAGUCCCAGCAACCCCAUGCAGCGCUACAAGCUCGGGGCAGAGUGGACGGUGUACGUGGUGGGAAAAGAUCUGGGGGCGUCAGUCAACAGCCAGCAGUGUGCCAGUGUCAGCGUGUGCCAGCAGCGUGCCCAGACAGCCAAGAAAGCCAACGGCAUCCUGGCUUGUAUCAGAAUAGCGUCGCCAGCAGGACCAGGGAUGUGAUUGUUCCUCCGUGCGUGGCAACAGAGAGGCCGCACCUGGAGUAGCAUGUUCAGUUUUGGGCCCUUCUCUGCAAGGAAGACGCUGAGGUGCAGGAGCGUGUCCAGAGAAGGGCAGUGAAGCUGGUGAAGGCUGUGGAGCACAAGUCUUACGGGAAGCGGCUGAGGGAGCUGGGCUGUUCAGUCUGGAGGAGGCUCAGGGGAGACCGUGUCGCUCUCUACAACAACCCGGAGGGAGGUUGUAGCAAGGUGGGGGUUGGCCUCUCCUCCCAGGUGACAGCAACAGGACAAGAAGGAACGGCCUUAAGUUGCACCGAAGGGAGGUGCAGGUUGGAUAUGGGACAAUUUUUUCUUUGAAAGAAUGGCCAAGCACUGGAACAGUCUUCGCUGGGCAGGGAAGUGGUGGAGUCGCCGUCUCUGGAGGUGUUCAGGAAAUGUGUAGAUGUGUCACUUGGGGACAUGGCUUACUGCACUGGGUGGCGAUGGGGUGACAGCUGGACGGUUGGAUGCAGGGCGACAUAAGAUAUGCAGGCGGAAUCCUUGGGAAACGUAGAGAUCAAAUGGAAGAGAUUAGGUUAUUGGGAAGACAAAUCAGUGGGAUGUGGACCUCAACUGCCUCCGCCUCAGAGCGGCCCUGGUAACAUGACGGCGGCCAGCAAGAUGGCGGCCAGGCGUGUGCAGGCAUGGGGUGGGCAGGAGGAGGCAGAGUGCCCGUGCUCAGGCUCCGCCCCACAGCGUGUCACGGUUCGGAGGGCGGGAGGGCAGCAUUGUGAUGUCAGCAUGCUCAAGCUGUGAGUUCAGAGGGGUGGUCCCACCUCUGCCAUUGCGGUUGUGACCAGCGUUUAGCGAUGGUUGACAGCAGCUCUCUCUUUGUCCCUGUAACCCUUGUCCUUCUCUAUGGCCUCCUGUUCCUGGUGGCCGGAGUCUCCCUGCUCACCGUGACCCGACACCUGCAGGCCGGCAGACGACGCUUGCGGUGGAGGAAAUGGUGGCAGCAAGCAGUGGCACCGGAGCCAGCGAGUUUCCGCAGACUCUGCAUUCUGUUCUUGAGCGUACGUGUUACGCAAGCAUCUUGUCCUUCAGCUUGUAUCCACUCCAGUGACGUGAAAAGGCUGUUCUCACAAUUUGGAAAAGCCGUUCUCAUGAUUCACUACAACCGAUGCAAAGCGGAUACAGCAGAUCCAGUAGCACUAUUAGAUCAAGCAAAUUCUCAGCUACAAAACACUAUCUUUCAACACUGUCACCACCGCUAGCUAUGCAUUGUUGCCAGCAACGAGUAAGAGCCCACGCUCAUCAAACUCUGCACCAGCGCAGAUGACACACUGUCGCUGUUGCCACAGCUGAAACGCACGGCCUCACUGUGCUCCCAUCCACUGUCUGAUCCCCAUACACGUUCAGCAAGCGUGC